rnacentral:rRNA from 1 species
CCCUUUUUAGUUAGUCGUCCUACUUGUACACCUUGCUAGUAAUUUUUACGACCCGAGUGAGAAAACCCUCAGAGUUGAAAAAUAAGACACGUGGCAAAUUAAACACCCCAGCUUAAGUAAAAGCCGGCGGCGGGACCCAACCAAGCGAAAAAGGAAACCCUCUAACAAGGCCGGCGGGUAUAGUAAAUAAUAUGAUAAUACUGACUGGGUAUUGUAUAUAACAAUUGUAUAUUUGUUGAAAGUCGUGACCUAGCGUGCCGAAACCAGAGCUAAUUCUUGCGUUGUGUAGUGUUACAUAACACACUACACGGAUAGCUUUGAGCACACUAGAUAUUUGCGUAGUUGUGAAGAACAUGAUAAAAAGUAACGUUUCUAGGAAUUGACAUGCGUAAGAGAGCUUUCUUUGUUUUCGUGGAACUUUAAGAGCUCCUCCCGCGGACAAGCACACCUACUUAUCGACAGUGUAGGAAAACAGAGGAUUGAGGUGUAUACUAUAUUCCAGACGCCUUUAAAGACCAGAAAGACUAAUGUUGUGUAGGCAUUCCGUGCCUUAACUCCUGAGAAGGACCUAGGAACGGUGAGUGCACUAUAGGAUUAUUAUAUAGCCGAGCAGGAUUCUCGGGCAUUCGGAUAGUGUUACACAUGAUUAUGUACCGAAGAAAGAAAAGCGGUGGUAAGCACGUUGAUUAAAGACUUGAUUUGAUAUCUUUUUUCUUCUCUUCUCUUCU